rnacentral:RNase_MRP_RNA from 2 species
GGAUGCUCUGAAGACCUGCUCUCUAGGCUACGCACGGAGGACGAUAGUUCCUCAAGGGCCUCCGCGCCCGCCUAGGGGAAAGUCCCCGGACCGCCGGCAGAGAGUGCCGGGCGCUCUCGCGCCCUGUCCCCCCCCCAUUCCCACAGCUGCCGCCAAGAUGCCUCCGGGCAGAGCGGGUGAUAGCGGGGUGGGUUCUCGUCACGGCCACAGAAACGCAGGUAGUGCAUGGGUGCACUAACAGAACGGGGCUCACUCUCAGGCCAUC